CCUACGGGAGGCAGCAGUGGGGAAUCUUGCGCAAUGGGCGAAAGCCUGACGCAGCAACGCCGCGUGCGGGAAGAAGGCUUUCGGGCUGUAAACCGCUUUCAGCAGGAACGAAAAUGACGGUACCUGCAGAAGAAGGAGCGGCCAACUAUGUGCCAGCAGCCGCGGUGAUACAUAGGCUUCAAGCGUUGUCCGGAUUUAUUGGGCGUAAAGAGUUCGUAGGCGGUCGAGUAAGUCGGGUGUGAAAAUUCUGGGCUCAACCCAGAGACGCCACCCGAUACUGCUUAACUUGAGUUCGAUAGGGGAGUGGGGAAUUCCUAGUGUAGCGGUGAAAUGCGCAGAUAUUAGGAGGAACACCGGUGGCGAAGGCGCCACUCUGGAUCGAUACUGACGCUGAGGAACGAAAGCAUGGGUAGCAAACAGGAUUAGAUACCCUGGUAGUCCAUGCCGUAAACGGUGGGCACUAGGUGUGGGAUUCUAUUAACGAAUUCCGCGCCGUCGCUAACGCAUUAAGUGCCCCGCCUGGGGAGUACGGUCGCAAGCUAAAACUCAAAUGAAAUUGACGGCUUGAGAGUUGCGAGCGACGACGAGGGAGAGG
rnacentral:rRNA from 1 species